rnacentral:rRNA from 1 species
GACGAACGCUGGCGGCGUGCCUAACACAUGCAAGUCGCACGAAGGUUUCGGACCUAGUGGCGGACGGGUGAGUAACGCGUAGGGAUCUAUCCAUGGUUGGGGGAUAACACUGGGAAACUGGUGCUAAUACCGCAUGAUACCUGAGGGCCAACGGCGCAAGUCGCCUGUGGAGGAGCCUGCGUUCGAUUAGCUAGUUGGUGGGGUAAAGGCCUACCAAGGCGAUGAUCGAUAGCUGGUUUGAGAGGUUGAUCAGCCACACUGGGACUCAGACACGGCCCAGACGCCUACGGGGUGCAGCCGUGGGGAAUAUUGUACAAUGGUGGCAACCCUGAUCCACCAAUGCCGCGUGUGUGAAGAAGGUCUUCGGAUUGUAAAGCACUUUCGACUGCGACGAUGAUGACGGUACCCUUAGAAGAGGCCCCGGCUAACUUCAUGCCAGCCGCCGCAGAA